GCUCGAAUGGCGGAAUUGGCAGACGCUGCGGACUUAAAAUCCGUUGGUUAUAUAAACCGUGAGGGUUCAAGUCCCUCUUUGAGCA
rnacentral:tRNA from 2 species